rnacentral:rRNA from 1 species
ACUAACUAUAUAUAGCCUUUAGGAAAUGAUGGGGAACUGGGUAGUGAUAUUGAUCUGGAAGAAGCUCAAAAGGCACUUGAAAUAGCCGAAGCUAACUUGAGUAAAGCUGAGUGUACGAAAGAUUUGGUUGAAGCGAAGCUCGCUCUCAGACGAGCUAGGAUACGAAUCGAGGCUGUCAACCAAUAA